rnacentral:rRNA from 1 species
GUCGAGCGGAUUUAUCCUUCGGGAUAAGUUAGCGGCGGACGGGUGAGUAACACGUAGGUAACCUGCCUAUAAGAUCGGGAUAACUAUCGGAAACGAUAGCUAAGACCGGAUAAUUGGUUUUCUCGCAUGAGAGAAUUAUGAAACACGGAGCAAUCUGUGGCUUAUAGAUGGGCCUGCGGCGCAUUAGCUAGUUGGUAGGGUAACGGCCUACCAAGGCGACGAUGCGUAGCCGACCUGAGAGGGUGAACGGCCACACUGGGACUGAGACACGGCCCANACUCCUACGGGAGGCAGCAGUAGGGAAUCUUCCGCAAUGGACGCAAGUCUGACGGAGCAACGCCGCGUGAGUGAUGAAGGUUUUCGGAUCGUAAAGCUCUGUUGCCCUAGACNAACAGCAAGNNGAGUAACUGCYYUUUGUGUGACGGUAUAGGAGAAGAAAGCCCCGGCUAACUACGUGCCAGCAGCCGCGGUAAUACGUAGGGGGCAAGCGUUGUCCGGAAUUAUUGGGCGUAAAGCGCGCGCAGGCGGUCAAUUAAGUUGGGUGUUUAAGCCCGGGGCUCAACCCCGGUUCGCAUCCAAAACUGGUUGACUUGAGUGUAGGAGAGGAAAGUGGAAUUCCACGUGUAGCGGUGAAAUGCGUAGAGAUGUGGAGGAACACCAGUGGCGAAGGCGACUUUCUGGCCUAUAACUGACGCUGAGGCGCG